GGAUGCGAUCAUACCAGCACUAAAGCACCGGAUCCCAUCGGAACUCUGAAGUUAAGCGUGCUUGGGCGAGAGUAGUACUAGGAUGGGUGACCUCCUGGGAAGUCCUUGUGUUGCAUUUC
rnacentral:rRNA from 1 species